rnacentral:rRNA from 1 species
CUAUACAUGACUCUGCGCAUAUCAAUAAGCGGAGGAAAAGAAACUAACAAGGAUUCCCUUAGUAACGGCGAGUGAAGCGGGAAGAGCUCAAAUUUGAAAUCUUCAAGGUUCUACCUUGACGAAUUGUAGUUUAUAGAAGUGUUUUCUGUUAGUGGAGUGGCAAAAGUUCUUUGGAAUAGGACAUCAUAGAGGGUGAGAAUCCCGUAUUUGGUCAUUCCUCCUAGCGUUGUGAUACACUUUCAACGAGUCGGAUUGUUUGGGAAUGCAGUCCAAAAUGGGUGGUAAAUUUCAUCUAAAGCUAAAUAUUGGCGAGAGACCGAUAGCGAACAAGUACCGUGAGGGAAAGAUGAAAAGAACUUUGAAAAGAGAGUUAAACAGUACGUGAAAUUGUCAAAAGGGAAGCGUUUGACACCAGUGUUGUUUUUUCCGAAAAUCAAUUACGAAUGUUUUGUUUUUAAGAAGUUAUGACUUCAUCGGCUUGCUUCUUUCUUUAUCGAAACUUUCUUAAUGCACUUUUCGGUUAACAAGUCAACAUCAAUUUCUUUUGUUGUAAAAGGGUAUGAGGAAGGUGGCUUUCUUUUCGGAGAAAGUGUUUAUAGCCUUGUACCUCUGCAAUCGGAGAGAUUGAGGUCUGCAGCGUAGAUCCUUCGGGGUUAGAUACAUUUGUGCUAAGUUAUAGCUUUUCAUAGACAACUUGUUGACUAUGUUUAGUCUUGUAGCUUACUCGCUUAUGCUAUUUUACCUACGCUUAGGAUGUUGAUAGUCACAGCGUGUAC